UCGAGCCAGGUGGCCGGAGCUUGAGCCGGGCGCCGGGAAAUCCUCCGCCGCAAUCCGGAUCUCGAUUUCGACAAACUCCGAUCAGUGGUAUCCCCUUCUUCCUCGCCAGCGGAAGAAAGUCUCCGGCUUAAAAUGUAGAGGACCACCGCUGCCCCGGCGGCGGGGGCCGCGCCCCCCCCCCCCCCCCGCCCCCGCGGGGCAAACAGACGUGGCGUAAUCCCCCGCCGCAAUCCGGAUCUCGAUUUCGACAAACUCAGAUCAGCGGCAUCCCCUUCUUCCCCGCCAGCAGAAGCAAGUCUCCGGCUUAAAUUGGAGGGACCCCCCCCUCCCCAGGCGGCGGUCGCCAUUGCCCCCGCCGCCAUCGAUCGAAGCGGAAAAAGCUUGGGAGGAGGGAAAAUGAAAGGAAAGCAAAUCCCUUUGUGUCGCUUUCAGGCUUGUGAGGAAUUGUAAUCAGGAAAAAGGGAGGAAUCGAAGUAAUCGACGGAGUUUGCUUCUGCGUUGAGCGGGGGCAAUUGGGGAGUAAAGCCCUCUGGGGAAUUGGAGGGAGCAGAGGAAGCGGAGAAGAAACCUUUUCUGGCCGCGGAAAUGGUGAAGAAGAAGCGAAGAACCAAAAUAAAAAUAAAAAAUAAAAAAGAUUUUUGCAAAUGAUUUGAUAAACCAAACAAAAGGUAAUUGGGAUCAGAUGUUAAAUGACGGAAAAGGCUGCACGGUGACUAGGUGAUGUUAGGCUGUUAGCGGGAGUUGUUUGGAUUGUGCGGGGAGAGGUGAGGGGUAAUUAAGGGAAUUCGAGAGGGUGGUAGUGGUGGGGAAGAAAAUAGUGGGAAUUAUGUGGAGGUUGGGAAGCUCGGCAUUGCAUCAAAAUAAUGAAAAGCAAGUAAUAAUAAUAAUACAGGAAUUGAAAUAAUUUAAAAGAAUGGAAGUGCGAGCAUGUUAGGCAGACAAAGAUUAAUUAUUUGGGGGAUUAAUAUUAUAAUCUUAGUAUGGGUUUCGUGGAUCAUGAUCAGAGUGGAUUAGGAUUCAAUUCAGAUGUCGGGAGACCAAAUUAAGAGACCAAAGUGGCCAAUUAGUAACUGCUCCUUGCGAUUGUAGUGUUUUGGGCUGCUCCUUAUUCUGGGAUUCAGAAGCUCUUCAUCAAUCUCCUGGAGCACGGUGGCAGAAUUCACUAUGGUAGCUCUAAUUUUCAAUUCAAUUGUUCAUUCCUACCAGUACAUAGCAACCUAGAAUGCAAUACUGCUUACUAAGGAAUGUUCAUCUCUCCUCAGAUUUCAAGACAUAUAGUAAAACGGAUACGUAUUGUUUACUAACAUAGUAAUAUUUGAUUUGGAUUCAUAUCUGAUUGCGUACGUUUUUCUUUUUUUAUGUUGGAAAUAUGCACUCGGGUUUGAUUUUGGUGUGAUGGAAGCACCAUGGAUUUGAUUUUGGUGUGAUGCCGGAAUUGGAACGGAUGCAUUAACUCACGGGAAACCUCACAUUAGUUCAGAGCAAGUUGGAACUAGCUGGCAUCAACUCCUCUAUGAACUAGAUGAUGUUAGGAACUGACACUGAAACUCGUCCAGCUCAACCUUGAGCUGGAUGUUAGUAUCACUAGCUACAGUGAUGGUAGGGAGCUAGGUAGUUGGGGUGGUUACUCCUUCUCCUAAGAUGAAUGGGUACACACCUCUUCGUGAGAUUCAAACUCCUUUUUGAGUUGUUUUCCCUCCAAACCCGUAAGACUUCAAAGUGGUUACCUUCAAGUCUAUCUAUGGGAUAAUGAUUCCUUUUGGUGCAUGCAUUCGUAGCCCUUCGGUCCUGAACCCCUUUGCCUAUAUAAAGAAGGCAGUAGUGUGGGAGAACAUACACAGAAAACAUCUAUCCUAACCUACGACUCUAAGUGACUUUAAUUUCUAAAGUCUAAGAACUUAAGUGGAGACGGUUUUAUCCUCAGAAAGGAUUUUCUGAUACCCAAGGUUUGUAGGGUGGAAAUACUCUUUUCAAAAAGUGGUACCCAUGAUUCCGUCUUGAUCCUAAAUCUCAUCACUUAUCGAAACUCGAAUCAUUGCUACUUGGAACCUCUUGAUCCAUCACUUUUUAGAGUAUGUGCAUUUUCCAACAUGCAAGUGAAAAUCCAUUUCGAAGAUUCUACUGUUGAAGUCCAAAAUUCACUUGGAUUGAAUGCGUUGUUAAAGGCCUCAUAACUGAUCGUUGCAUGAAAUGUGGUCAUAAGAUAAAUAAUGAAGAGUCUAUUUGCUCUUGUUUUGGUUCUAGGAUCAAGUUUUGAGUGGUUAAUAUAUCGAGCUUUUGAUACCUAAUCUCUGAUUAUAUUCUCAGGGUAAGUUCGAGUGGUUAAUACGCGGACCUUGGGAAGCUUUUGGUUAGGGGAUUCUGUGCCUUCUCCUUGAAAACCUGUUUCGAAAUAUGCAGUUGUUGAUUAGUCCAGUACUCUUCCUCUACUAAAGUUCUCUUCCUCAAAAUAUGCAGAUGUUGAUUAGUCCAGUACUCUUCCUCUCGGCUGCUGUCCCUUUAUAAUGAAGUUGCUGCAGAAAACUACCAAACACAUACAUGAUUAUUUCCUUUGGGUGGCUACAUCCAAAAAAUCAUGGAAACCACAAGAUGAACAUAUUGAUUGCAGAAAGGUAACAAAGUGAAGAACUCGACAUUCUUGUUCCCUUGUGUACCUUAUUAUAUCUGGGAAAUUGGAGACUCAACUGAAACCUUAAAUAACUGUGAAUGCCUCAGUUUCUUGGAAACAAUUAUAUUGAGCUACUACAUUGCUUGACAUUUGACCUGAAUUCAUGAAAGAAGCAACAGCUCAAUACUGAAGAUCAUUUGACAAAAAGGCUUGUUUGGAACCAUCUUUUUUUAUUAUUUUUUAUCAAAGGUAUCGUGUUGGGAAUUAAGACAUUAAGUUUCAGUACUGAAGAUCAUUUACCUGCCUCAGAGUAGCAGCUGUUGGUGGUUGUUGUCAAUGAUCGGGGUCCCCAAGUCACCAGCUGAAUUCGUCUGCCCUUCCCCGCACUAAAGCCUCUUCAAUACAACAACUGCCCACAGAGAAGUUAAUUGAUUACUUGUGGGAAUAACCAUGGCAAAUUAACAAUCUCAUAGUAAUAGGGAAUAACCCUAAACACAAUGAAGGUGCAUAUGUUUCCUGCUUAAUGAGUCUAAUUAGUUUAUAGCUUAUAAAUGUAAUGAUAAAUGUUUGGCUGGGAGAUUCACAUAAUACUAAUAGGUUGAGCAAAAUUGAAAGUGAAUUGCUAUAAGUUUAUUCCAAAGCUAAUUCAUCCAAACAUAUCGAAAUUACAGAAGCCAAACACAGCACCCAUCCACACAGUGCCGCAAUUUAGGCCAACACAACAGUAUUUUCCAUCCAUUUUGCCACGCUGGUUGUCCAUGUCAAUUUAGAAAAGCACUAGUUCCAACCCCCAAUCGUCUAUCCCGGAGGAGGAGGAGGAGGAUUGUUGUGUCGUCGGAGCGGGAUGAGAUCGGCGGCGGCAAGAUCUUAGCGGUGAUUAACUGAGGCAAAGCUAUAGGCUUGUCUUCCUCAUCUUCGCUCAAGCUCUUGCCUUUCAGCAGAGAUUCAAUCAGCUUCUUCCUCGAAUUGCAAGGGCACUUCAUCGAGAGAGCAAAGAGAUCCUCCGGUUUGUUCUCGUUCGCAUCAAGGCAGUUGGAAUCAGCAUCAGCAUCAAGCAGCGUCUUAACAAUCGCAACCGAAGAGUUCGAACCACCAGCAACAGCUUAGCGAAGGGCAGUGACCAUAUCCGAGCCGCAGGCUCGAUUCACAUCAACUUUGCCAAUUCCGAUUAUAUACUUCAAAACAUCAGUGCUUCCAAACAUGGCUGCAAUCAUGAGAGGGGUUCUCUCCUCGAACCCCAUCUUCCUCGAGCCGAUUCUUCUUCCAUACGAACAGCUUGCUUCAUCCACAUCCAAUCCUUUGCCUUCAACCUCGCUUCCGAAUGAAACUAGAUCCCGAAUUGCAGACAGCUCGAGUGUGAACUGGUGGAGGAGAUAGAAGGAGGGUGCUCUCCAUUUUACAUUAAUUGCCUCUUAGUUUAAUUGGAUCAGACUAAACAGGGUAGGCACAAAUAGAGUAAGAAAUGAUGGAGAAGAAGGUGAAUAGUGAUUUGGUUCUGGUUUUUCGAUUUUUUGUUCGGUUCGGUUCAUUUUAAUCAAAAUAUUUGCUAUGACGUGGAAUUUAACAGAAAUUUUGGACAGUGUGGAGACAACAAUAGUGUUCUGGGCUGUUUUGAUGGAUUUUUUUGACCUAAAGAUCCGGUCAAAAAUUGAAUUAAACCUUCGAGAUUACGUAAGUCAAUAAUUUGGGAAACGUGGCCCGUGGAAAGGGGAAAGUUUUUAGGGGA
rnacentral:lncRNA from 1 species